rnacentral:rRNA from 1 species
UGGGGAAUUUUGCACAAUGGGGGAAACCCUGAUGCAGCGACGCCGCGUGAUUUAGAAGGCCUUCGGGUUGUAAAAAUCUUUUGUAUAGGAAGAAAAUGACAGUACUAUACGAAUAAGGACCGGCUAAUUACGUGCCAGCAGCCGCGGUAAUACGUAAGGUCCGAGCGUUGUCCGGAAUCAUUGGGCGUAAAGGGUACGUAGGCGGGUAAGCAAGUUAGAAGUGAAAUCCUAUAGCUCAACUAUAGUAAGCUUUUAAAACUGCUCAUCUUGAGGUAUGGAAGGGAAAGUGGAAUUCCUAGUGUAGCGGUGAAAUGCGCAGAUAUUAGGAGGAAUACCGGUGGCGAAGGCGACUUUCUGGUCUGUAACUGACGCUGAGGUUCGAAAGCGUGGGUAGCAAACAGG